GACGAACGCUGGCGGCGUGCUUAAUACAUGCAAGUCGAACGGACAGGCCCUGCUUUUGUGGGGUGCUCGAGUGGCGAACGGGUGAGUAACACGUGAGUAACCUGCCCUUGACUUUGGGAUAACUUCAGGAAACUGGGGCUAAUACCGGAUAGGAGCUCCUGCUGCAUGGUGGGGGUUGGAAAGUUUCGGCGGUUGUGGAUGGACUCGCGGCUUAUCAGCUUGUUGGUGGGGUAGUGGCUUACCAAGGCUUUGACGGGUAGCCGGCCUGAGAGGGUGACCGGCCACAUUGGGACUGAGAGACGGCCCAGACUCCUACGGGAGGCAGCAGUGGGGAAUAUGGCACAAUGGGCGGAAGCCUGAUGCAGCAACGCCGCGUGCGGGAUGACGGCCUUCUGGUUGUAAACCGCUUUCGCCGGUGACGAAGAGUGCGUGACGGUAAUGGGUAAAGAAGCACCGGCUAACUACGUG
rnacentral:rRNA from 1 species